rnacentral:rRNA from 1 species
GAUUUCCGUAGGGGUGGACUGCGGAGGGAUCAUUACCGAGUUUACAACUCCCAAACCCAUGUGAACAUACCUACUGUUGCUUCGGCGGGAUUGCCCCGGGCGCCUCGUGUGCCCCGGAUCAGGCGCCCGCCUAGGAAACUUAAUUCUUGUUUUAUUUUGGAAUCUUCUGAGUAGUUUUUACAAAUAAAUAAAAACUUUCAACAACGGAUCUCUUGGUUCUGGCAUCGAUGAAGAACGCAGCGAAAUGCGAUAAGUAAUGUGAAUUGCAGAAUUCAGUGAAUCAUCGAAUCUUUGAACGCACAUUGCGCCCGCCAGUAUUCUGGCGGGCAUGCCUGUCUGAGCGUCAUUUCAACCCUCAUGCCCCUAGGGCGUGGUGUUGGGGAUCGGCCAAAGCCCGCGAGGGACGGCCGGCCCCUAAAUCUAGUGGCGGACCCGUCGUGGCCUCCUCUGCGAAGUAGUGAUAUUCCGCAUCGGAGAGCGACGAGCCCCUGCCGUUAAACCCCCAACUUUCCAAGGUGACCUCAGAUCAGGUAGAAUCGA